CUUCUUCUGUAUCAAUUCUUUUUCUUACUUGCAUUACGGUUUGGUUGUUGACUAAUGGUUUAUAAUCGAAAUUUAAUAUGGCUGGUGGUAAAAGUAAAGAGAAGUUUAAAGGAACAAACAUUGUUUUUUUACUUGUAAAUUUACUUAGAGGGUUUUGUCAAUUAAAGUGACUUCUACAGUUACCG